rnacentral:rRNA from 1 species
AGUGAACGCUGGCGGUAGGCCUAACACAUGCAAGUCGAACGGCAGCACAGUAAGAGCUUGCUCUUACGGGUGGCGAGUGGCGGACGGGUGAGGAAUACAUCGGAAUCUACUUUUUCGUGGGGGAUAACGUAGGGAAACUUACGCUAAUACCGCAUACGACCUACGGGUGAAAGCAGUGGAUCUUGGGACCUUGCGCGAUUGAAUGAGCCGAUGUCGGAUUAGCUAGUUGGCGGGGUAAAGGCCCACCAAGGCGACGAUCCGUAGCUGGUCUGAGAGGAUGAUCAGCCACACUGGAACUGAGACACGGUCCAGACUCCUACGGGAGGCAGCAGUGGGGAAUAUUGGACAAUGGGCGCAAGCCUGAUCCAGCCAUACCGCGUGGGUGAAGAAGGCCUUCGGGUUGUAAAGCCCUUUUGUUGGGAAAGAAAAGCAGCAGGUUAAUACCCCGCUGUUCUGACGGUACCCAAAGAAUAAGCACCGGCUAACUUCGUG